UAAUACUAAUUAUUAUAUAUCUACUUUUUUCACUAAUUCUUUUGAGGAUAAGCUCAAAGAGAAAGUUAAGAUAUUUAUGAUUAUAAGCCGCCGUGUGGGCUUAAAAUUGGCCACCACAAAAGUUUGUUAUAAAAUAACGGUUUCAACUCAAAAAAUAAAUAUAUUUUAAUCUAACUUCUUACGGAAAUAAAAUCUUUAACUAAAGUAAGUUUUAUACCUAUGCUAGAAUGAGUAUUAUAAACUAACAUUAAACAUGAAAAUAUUUCUUCAGUAAAAAUUAUUCAAACAAACUAAUUAAUUAAAAGGAACUCGGCAAAAUUAGUUGCUUCGCCUGUUUAUCAAAAACAUGGCUCUCUGCUUAUGUAAAUAUAGAGAGUCGAGCCUGCCCAGUGAAUUUUUCAACGGCCGCGGUACUCUGACCGUGCAAAGGUAGCAUAAUCAUUUGCCUUAUAAUUGAAGGCUAGUAUGAAUGGUUUGACGAGAGCAACGCUGUCUCUUUUUUAUUUUCAAGAACUUAACUUUUAGGUGAAGAGGCCUAAAUUUUAUUGAAGGACAAGAAGACCCUGUCGAGCUUAAAAGAUAUUAUAGAAGUGCAUAUAUUUUUAAAUAAAUUUUCUAUUCAGCUUUUUAGUUGGGGCGACUAAGGAACAAAAAGAGCUUCUUAUUAAUAAUAAACACUCAUGUUUAGAUCCGGCAAUAACCGAUCAAAGGAAUUAGUUACCGCAGGGAUAACAGCAUAAUCUCUCUUGAGAGACCUAAUCGAAAGAGGGGGUUGUGACCUCGAUGUUGGACUAGAA
rnacentral:rRNA from 1 species